AUGAAGGGUGAGGAGGCACCGAAUAUGAUUGCCUUUUACAAAGAAACACAUUGGUCUAAGGAGAAGGGGAAAUUCAUCAAUGCAGCAAGUGAACACAAUUAUAAUCUGAUGGUAGAGAGGUUGAAUGAGAAAGAGACUGAAGAGGCUCAGGAUACUGAUGUUGCUGCUGAUGUUUUCAAAGAGGUCUUAGGGUAUAAAUCUGGCUAUGCACAAGGGCAGGGCCACUCAGUCAUUCCUGAGCCCUCCCUUUUUAUGCAAAAAAAUAAGGCAUUUAAACGAUUGGCCGAGGAGAAUGUAAGAAACAAGACUUUUGCAGACAUUUACAAGACUCAACUAGAGUCAAUUUUGGGUGAUAUGGCUGAUCUGCGCAAACAGUUUUCUGAGCAUGAAAAACAACUAAACAUGAUAAACUCACAGUUGGAGUCAAAUAGAGUCUCAAGAAGAGGCUCCAGGAGAUGCUUAGGCAUCUCUCAUAUGGUUGGGAUUUUUUGAGUGUUGGGGACUUUUGUGUUUUUUGUUCCCCUAUGGAAAUGGCAGUUAGUUAAAUGUCAAUGGUUAAGAAGGAGAUUGUGGGCAGGUUGGGGUGUUUUGAUAUAAAGUGUGGGAGGUGGUUAUAUAAGUGGGCUUUUUUUUUUUGCCAUCGUAACCUGGUAAUGUAAUGGAAGUUGCUGCAUGCAAACGUUUCGUGAUGGUAUGCAUCAGGGAUAUUGCUGCAUGCAUGUAGGUAGCUGCAUAUACUGAAUGGUUCCAACAGUGCACAGUUCUGUAAGUAUAUGACAACCCUUGCAUCACAGUUGAACAUGACCUCGACAGUUCACAAAGAGAAGUGAAAAAUAGAACUGGAUAGGAGAUCCAGAUCCAGUACUGAUGGUCUUCUUCAUUCACAAUAUACGGGAAUCUGAUCCUGAUAUCGAGGCUGCAUUGAUACAUGUGGAUGAGUGCAAUGGAGAUAUGGGGAGAUUUAAUUUGGAGCAAAGUUCAUCAAAUGGAUAUAUGUAGACAAGUUCAUAUAGUUGUUUUAUGGGCUAUAUAUACAAUAGUUGUAACAAUCAAGUUGAUGACCCUGUCUUGUCCCUCCCACAUAGUGAACAUUGAUGUAUUUCCAUUUCCUUAAAUGGACAGUAUUCAGGUGGUGAAUUAACUUAUAUAUAUAUAUAUAUGAACAGUACCUGAUAUUUUAUA